rnacentral:rRNA from 1 species
GACGAACGCUGGCGGCGUGCCUAAUACAUGCAAGUCGAACGCAGUGGGGACGGGUGAGUAACACGUGGGUAACCUCCCAUCAGAGGGGAUAACACUUGGAAACAGGUGCUAAACCGCUACUGAUGGAUGGACCCGCGGUGCAUUAGCUAGUUGGUGAGGUAACGGCUCACCAAGGCAACGAUGCAUAGCCCACCUGCAAUGGUACUCGGCCACACUGGGACGGAGACACGGCCCAGAAUCCAUCGGAGGGCAGCAGUAGGGAAUCUUCGGGAUGGGACAAAAGUCUGACCGAGCUACGCCGCGUGAGUGAAGAAGGUUUUCGGAUCGUAAAACUCUGUUGUUAGAUGAGCGGUAUCUAACCAGAAAGCCACGGCUAACUACGUGCCAGCAGCCGCGGUAAUUG